rnacentral:misc_RNA from 1 species
CUUCUCUCUCUCUACUCUCCCUCUUCCAUCCUUGUUAAAACCGGCUGCACAGAUUCCAUUUUUCUCUCAUAAACCCUAACACUAACAAUGGCCCCCAAAUCCAGCAACUCCAAAUGCAAAACCCCGCAAGACCUCCACUUCAAGCCUGGCUCCAUCGUCGAGAUCAGCUCCGACGACGAUGGAUUCCGUGGCUCCUGGUAUGUGGGCACCAUCAUCCGCCGUGCCUCCACUAAGAACCCUAAUAAAUACCUUGUCCAGUACGAGAAACUAUUCAAUGACAAAGCGGGCAAGAAACCUUUAAGGGAAAUUCUUGAUUUAGUGCAGUUGAGGCCUGUGGCGCCAAGGGAGAAACAAAGGAAGUUUAAGUUCGGCGAGAAAGUGGAUGCAUACCAUAAUGAUGGGUGGUGGGAAGGAUCCAUUACUGAAGAGUGUGAGGAUGGGAGGUUUGCUGUGUUUUUUAGGGGGACGAGAGAGCAGAUUGUGUUUGGAGAGGAGGAUUUGAGGUUGCAUAGGGAGUGGGAUAAUGGGGAAUGGCAACCGUCAUUGGAACGGGUCCAAGAAGAGAAACAGGAAGAGAAUGAGGAAGAGGACGAGGUAAAAGAGGAAAAAAAGAAAGACAAGUUGAAGGAAGAAGUGGAACCAAUGAUUACCAAAGAAGUGAAGCCUAUUGAAGCAAUGACAGAGGAGAAGGUUAGCAAGGGAAUGCUGGUUGAGGAAACACUGAUUUUAAAAGAAGUGAAGCCUAUCGAAGCAAUGUCAGACGAGAAGUUUAGCAAGGGAAUGCCAGUUGAGGUUAGUAGUGAUGAAGAAGGUUUUGAAGGUGCUUGGUUUGCUGCAACUAUUGUUGAAGUGGUCGGAAAGGAUAAGUACCUUAUCGAGUACCAGAGCUUGAGAACAGAAGAUGAUAGUGAUUUUCUAAGAGAGGAGGUUGACAUUCUGCACAUAAGGCCCCGUCCCCCAGAAACCAUAGUUGUUGAUCGUUUUAAAUUGCUGGAUGAAGUUGAUGCUUCAUACAAUGACGGUUGGUGGGUGGGUGUUAUUGCUAAGGUUCUUGCUGACUCAAAGUACAUAGUCUACUUUAGGGACAGCGAGGAGGAAAUGAUGUUUCGACACUCUGAAUUAAGGCUGC